rnacentral:rRNA from 1 species
CAACAGGAACACGCCGCGUGCGGGAGGACGGCCUGUGGGUUGUAAACCGCUUUUCUCAGGGAAGAAGAUCUGACGGUACCUGAGGAAUCAGCAUCGGCUAACUCCGUGCCAGCAGCCGCGGUAAUACGGAGGAUGCAAGCGUUAUCCGGAAUUAUUGGGCGUAAAGCGUCCGCAGGCGGUUAAUCAAGUCUGCUGUUAAAGGCCGAGGCUCAACUUCGGUUAAGCAGUGGAAACUGGUGAACUAGAGUGCGAUAGGGGUAGAGGGAAUUCCCGGUGUAGCGGUGAAAUGCGUAGAUAUUGGGAAGAACACCAGUGGCGAAGGCGCUCUACUGGGUCGCAACUGACGCUGAGGGACGAAAGCUAGGGGAGCGAAAGGGAUUAGAUACCCCUGUAGUCA